UAAUUAAUUAACUUAUUUAAAGUAUUUGUUUUGAAAACUUAAAAAAGAAAUUUAAUUUUCUAUUAAUUU
rnacentral:tRNA from 1 species